ensembl:lncRNA
CUAGCAUUAGAAACAAAACUGAUCUUGUAAAUUUGAAGAACCGACUCUAGAUGAUUAGGAGUAAAUUUGGUUCAGAAUUAGGUAUGAGCCUGUCCUGCUUGAACUCCAAACUAGGCAAAAGCUGGGUAGCCUAUUUUCUGCAGUACCCACCUUGAAACAAUAUGUUCUGCUUCUCAGAUCCAAACAAGCUCCAAACGUUAAUCUUGACUCCCAGCUUGUCUGAAGGAUAUGCAAGCUGACCUCCCAUCCUCCUGCAAAAGACCUGGAAAUGAUGUCAGAUUGUCUGGUCUAGACAUGAUGCUAACUGCUCUUUUUUGGAGACCAGAGAGUGCUGUCUUUCCUGAAGGCCACUGAGCACCACCACUCUGGGAAAUGACAGAAGGCUGAAUGUUUUGGCAAUCAAAUUUGGGAAGCAGUUUCUGCAAGAGGUCGGUGCUGCCUGAGUUCCCCCAGCAGAAGACACUUUAUCCCAUUACGAACAAACGGCAUUACUUACUGAAGGAGUUGAAUGCUGUGGUAUUUCCCAGUGUGCCACAUGGCUGCAGAAAUGAAAAUAUCACCUCUUCUAAAAUUUGCUUUAAAAAUGAAUGCACAAACUGCAAUCAAAAUAGAAUCAAAGGAAAAAAGCAAACAAACACAACGAGCUUGAUGAAUAUGGAAAAGGGAGAAAUGAAGGAGGUGGUGAAAAGAAACAGCAAGUCAUGUAAAGGAAGCUGUAAAAAGUCUCCUGCGAUUUAGAUUAGGACAGUUCAGGAAUUCUUCCAUUCUUAUUUGAGUUUCUGUGAAUUUUACUAUCGCUUGCAGAUGUGUAGAGCCUGAGAUGGGUAUGGGAAUGUUCCUGAAAUACAAUCCUUCAGGUAAAAAAAUUAAGGAAACAGAUGUUCUAAGGCUUUUCCUUCUGUUUUUUGUUAAUUAGUUAUUAAGUCAUGGUUCUGACCGUCCCCACAUUUAUUGUAACAUGUUUUACGUAACUCAUCUUCAUUUUGAAUUAAUUUAACAGAAUAAUUUGGAAGGACCAGAGCUCUAACCAGAGCUCUGCUCUAUUAUAGUUUAGUAGUAUUCAAUAUUUCAUAGCUUUUGCUUUUCAGAAGUUUUCUUCAGAGGAUGAAGAUGAGAGCUCAGGGGAUCAAAUAGAAUAUAGAAGCUCAGCUUCAAGUCAGUCAGAAAAAUCCACUAACUAUAAUCACUGUAGUCAUUAUUUCUGAAAGUUGGAGAACUCUUCAUUAGAUGAACAAAAUAAUAACAAGAGGCAAAACCUGAGAAAAUACUCAUUAUUACUGCUUGUAUUACACAGUUGAACACAGAAGUUUUAGCAGUUUAGGCAACUCAGAAACUGGAAAACACACUUUGAAGCCAAUUAACUUUUUCUCAAUUCUUGGCAUUUUAUUGAUGAUCAAAUAUAAUAUAGCUAUCAGAACUCACUGUCUGAACUGAGAAUAUCAGGAUUCUUUCUGAAUCUGAUAAUUUUUUGCUUGUGACGCCUGAAACUUGACUCUCCAGCAGAUCUAGCAGAUUUCAGCCUUUCACCUCAC